AUCAGAGGAGAGCUGCUGCAGGAGCCGCCCGCGCUGGGACAGCGGGUGCGGGCAGGUAGGAGCUGCUGCUCCUGGAUCAGAGGAGGGAUGGUGCUACUUGCAGAGGGACCCGCAGGGACACCGUGGGACUGCCCGCAGCACAGCUCCUCUGGCACUGCCUGGGCAGGGAACCCCGCAGUCCAGCACAAGCCAGCUCCCACCAGCACAUCAGCCUCUUGCAGCGUCUGGAUCCGAGCUGUUGCUAAUGAGGAUGGUGCUCAUCAUGUGAUCGUGCCUUUGGGCAAGGGUGGUGGUGCUGCUAAUUGGCUUCUCUGGCUGCGGUUUCCUUAGGAAACAAGGUGGAACCAAAGGAUGUGGGUGCACCUCUGCUAUGAUCUCUCCCGGUGUGUUGGUCCUGCGGCCCAGCCCUGGAUCAACACGUUUUCUAUCUUGUGUAUUUGAUCACCAGAGCUAUGAAAAUUGUGAAAUGAAGUUCUCCCGGCGAAAUCAAAUAGAAAGGAAGUGGCUUUGUAUCAAACCACUGAAUUAACACA
ensembl:lncRNA